UUUUGUGUUUGCUUUAUAUGAACACCAAGUGUUUUGCUUGCGUAAAUAUUCUCAGAAAACCAUUUUACCCGAACUCUCUGAAUUCACAGCACAUAUCAACACAAUCCAUCAACAAAAUUGUGACUAAAAUGAAAUGUUAGUAAGUAAUUGAGUUUGAGUUAUCCUUGGUUAUUCAGCUAUAUGCUGUUUUUUGCAGAACAUUUAAAGUAUUUGGAGUAUUUUUCAAAACAUCCUGCUGCUUGAAGAAUGACAGGUAAUCAAACUUUCUAUUGGAAGAGGUCAAAGGAUGUUCUGUCAUUCUGAAUUUGACCUUGUUUUAAAGAAUUUGGCUGGAGAUGGAUGGGUCAGUACUGGAAAAAAAAUAAGUACUUUGCAGGACAUUGACAGGACUGCUAUCAACUUUUGUCUCCAUUCCGUUUUACACAUUAUGGGACUUCCAGAUGUCUCCUUGUAUGACAAAGAAAGAAAUAAUUCUCCAGUGAGUUACACAUGAGAGGUCUGACAUCCCCUGUGAAAGAAUCCAUUUUUGUAAUUCUAUUUUCUGCUCUGGACAGCUAAUGAGGGAAGACAAGAUUGUAUUUUAGAUGAAACAGAUCGUCCAAGUUGACAGCAUAAUUUACUCUAACAAAUAGGUCUUGUCCUGCAACCCACCUUAGAAACACCAACUCUGUUUUUGUUCAGUUCAUGAAGAAAAACAACAUGUUUGUACAUGACAUUCACGUAAAAUGAGUAUAAAUAUCAUCUUAAGGAGUCAUAUAGACUGACAGCACUAGGAUGAGUAGUGAUCACUACCUGCAUUUCCUUACAUGGCACACUCUUAUGGUUUCAAGGAUGUCUUGUUAGUACAGUUUUUUCUGUCAUCAAUCACCUUUCUUACUGCCAUAUUCUCUGUCUUCCAAGCUAUAUAAGUUGUUCUCAUUACAGCUGGCCUUUAUACCUCCUGCAUAUAGUGCUUGGUUUUAUUUGUUUAAUAUUAAAUUAAGCCUUAUGUAUCUGUCAUGCCAAAUCAGCUUCAUAAUUUCUGAAAAGAUUUCUCUGUAUGAAUGGCUGCCUGAAGUGAACCUGAGAAAUGGGUAGAAUUUUAGAAGAUAUAAAAUGUCUCCCAUAUUUGAAAAAUGUGCUUAUUUACUCUGAUAUUUUAUGCCACAGAGAGAAAUACUAAUUAAAUUUUCUUUACACAUGCUGUGAUCUGUGCAGGCUAUCUAUAUUCAAAGCACUCAUAUUUUAUAUGUUUCAUUGUCAUUGCUGAGUCUGUAAAAUAUGAAUUUAGGGAAGAGGAUGAUUAUUUUUUUAAUAUAAAUUGCUGAAAUGCCUAUUGUCACUGCUUCUGGGAAAAGUGUUUGUGAAAGUAAUAAUAAACAGAAACAAAUUAUAAAGCCCA
rnacentral:lncRNA from 1 species